rnacentral:snRNA from 1 species
ACACGCGGCUUUCUCGGCAGAUCGAAUUAUUCUUUCGCCUUUUACUAAAGAAUACCGUGUCGGGGAUGCAUAUUUGCGUCUUUUGAUCGAAUUUUUUGCGGCCACUCUUUAUGAGUGGCU